GAUGAACGCUGGCGGCGUGCCUAAUACAUGCAAGUCGAGCGAACGGACGAGAAGCUUGCUUCUCUGAUGUUAGCGGCGGACGGGUGAGUAACACGUGGAUAACCUACCUAUAAGACUGGGAUAACUUCGGGAAACCGGAGCUAAUACCGGAUAAUAUUUUGAACCGCAUGGUUCAAAAGUGAAAGACGGUCUUGCUGUCACUUAUAGAUGGAUCCGCGCUGCAUUAGCUAGUUGGUAAGGUAACGGCUUACCAAGGCAACGAUGCAUAGCCGACCUGAGAGGGUGAUCGGCCACACUGGAACUGAGACACGGUCCAGACUCCUACGGGAGGCAGCAGUAGGGAAUCUUCCGCAAUGGGCGAAAGCCUGACGGAGCAACGCCGCGUGAGUGAUGAAGGUCUUCGGAUCGUAAAACUCUGUUAUUAGGGAAGAACAUAUGUGUAAGUAACUGUGCACAUCUUGACGGUACCGAAUCAGAAAGCCACGGCUAACUACGUGCCAGCAGCCGCGGUAAUACGUAGGUGGCAAGCGUUAUCCGGAAUUAUUGGGCGUAAAGCGCGCGUAGGCGGUUUUUUAAGUCUGAUGUGAAAGCCCACGGCUCAACCGUGGAGGGUCAUUGGAAACUGGAAAACUUGAGUGUAGAAGAGGAAAGUGGAAUUCCAUGUGUAGCGGUGAAAUGCGCAGAGAUAUGGAGGAACACCAGUGGCGAAGGCGACUUUCUGGUCUGUAACUGACGCUGAUGUGCGAAAGCGUGGGGAUCAAACAGGAUUAGAUACCCUGGUAGUCCACGCCGUAAACGAUGAGUGCUAAGUGUUAGGGGGUUUCCGCCCCUUAGUGCUGCAGCUAACGCAUUAAGCACUCCGCCUGGGGAGUACGACCGCAAGGUUGAAACUCAAAGGAAUUGACGGGGACCCGCACAAGCGGUGGAGCAUGUGGUUUAAUUCGAAGCAACGCGAAGAACCUUACCAAAUCUUGACAUCCUUUGACAACUCUAGAGAUAGAGCCUUCCCCUUCGGGGGACAAAGUGACAGGUGGUGCAUGGUUGUCGUCAGCUCGUGUCGUGAGAUGUUGGGUUAAGUCCCGCAACGAGCGCAACCCUUAAGCUUAGUUGCCAUCAUUAAGUUGGGCACUCUAAGUUGACUGCCGGUGACAAACCGGAGGAAGGUGGGGAUGACGUCAAAUCAUCAUGCCCCUUAUGAUUUGGGCUACACACGUGCUACAAUGGACAAUACAAAGGGCAGCGAAACCGCGAGGUCAAGCAAAUCCCAUAAAGUUGUUCUCAGUUCGGAUUGUAGUCUGCAACUCGACUACAUGAAGCUGGAAUCGCUAGUAAUCGUAGAUCAGCAUGCUACGGUGAAUACGUUCCCGGGUCU
rnacentral:rRNA from 1 species